rnacentral:lncRNA from 1 species
CGAGUUCCAAGAACAGAAGCUUUCUGUGAUGUUAGUCAAUAUCCUAUGGCCACAAGCACUCCAGGAAUUUUGGUGAUUCGCAUAAGUUCUGGUUCACUCUGCUUUGCAAAUGCUAAUUUUAUUAGAGAAAGGCAAUCACCUAAUUUAAAACAUAUUAUUUGGAGAGUUUAAUAAAUUUAAUAACCAAACUUUGAAAUGAAAACUAUUUAAUUCUUUCCAGAAUACUGAAGUGGAUCAUGGAAGAAGAAAACGAACUUGCCAAGGGAAGGGUCCAUGCAGUGAUCUUAGACAUGGGCAGUGAGUCUCAGAACUGAUGAUGACCAUAAUAAUGUAUUUCAUGGAAUUUAUUAUAACCCUUUCUCAAUUGUCUUUGAUAGAUCUCAU